GAUGAAGAACGUAGCGAAAUGCGAUAAGUAAUGUGAAUUGCAGAGUUUUGUGAAUCAUCGAAUCUUUGAACGCACAUUGCGCCCCUCGGUAUUCCGACGGGCAUGCCUGUCCGAGCGUCGUUUGCAACCCAUCGAGUAACACUUCUCGGUCUUGGGCGCCGUCCGCCCCCUCGGGGGAUCGGACGGGCCCCAAAGCCCUCGGCGGCCCCGCGUGCCCCGCCGGAGCGUCUUCGAAAGCAAUCGCUCCGGCGCGUCGCGCCCCGGGACCAAGCCGGCACCGCGGCCCCCCCAAAGGGGUCGCACCCCCAACACCAAACGUCUGACCUCGGAUCAGGUAGGGCUACCCGCUGAACUUAAGCAUAUCAAUAAGCGGAGA
rnacentral:misc_RNA from 1 species